UCGUGACUGCGUGCCUUUUGAAGAAUGAGCCUGCGAGUUUGCGGUGUGUUGCGAGGUUAACCCGUGUGGGGUAGCCGUAGCGAAAGCGAGUCUGAAGAGGGCGUUUGAGUAGCACGCUCAAGACCCGAAGCGGGGUGAUCUAGCCAUGGGCAGGUUGAAGCGGAGGUAAGACUUCGUGGAGGACCGAACCCACCAGGGUUGAAAACCUGGGGGAUGACCUGUGGUUAGGGGUGAAAGGCCAAUCAAACUCCGUGAUAGCUGGUUCUCCCCGAAAUGCAUUUAGGUGCAGCGUCGUGUGUUUCUUGCCGGAGGUAGAGCACUGGAUAGGCGAUGGGCCUUACCGGGUUACUGACCUUAGCCAAACUCCGAAUGCCGGUAAGUGAAGCGCGGCAGUGAGACUGUGGGGGAUAAGCUCCAUGGUCGAGAGGGAAACAGCCCAGAGCAUCGACUAAGGCCCCUAAGCGUGCGCUAAGUGGGAAAGGAUGUGGAGUCGCUUAGACAACCAGGAGGUUGGCUUAGAAGCAGCCAUCCUUGAAAGAGUGCGUAAUAGCUCACUGGUCUAGUGAUUCCGCGCCGACAAUGUAGCGGGGCUCAAGCGUACCGCCGAAGUCGUGUCAAUCCAG
rnacentral:rRNA from 1 species